rnacentral:rRNA from 1 species
CAAUAGCGUAUAUUAAAGUUGUUGCGGUAAAAAAGCUCGUAGUUGGAUUUCUGUUGAGAGCGACCGGUCCAUACCAUGUAUGCGUAUCUGGCUUGCUCUCGGCAACCUCUCGAUAGACGUUACUGCGCUUGAUUGCGUGGUGCGGAUCUCGGGACUUUUACUUUGAGGAAAUUAGAGUGUUCACGGCAGGCUUUCGCCAGAAUACAUUAGCAUGGAAUAAUACUAUAGGAUCCUGGUUCUAUUUUGUUGGUUUCUAGAAUUGAGAUAAUGAUUAAUAGGGACAAUUGGGGGCAUUCGUAUCAACACGUCAGAGGUGGAAUUCUUGGAUUGUGUUGCGACGAACUACUGCGAAAGCAUUUGCCAAGGAUGUUUUCAUUGA